rnacentral:snRNA from 1 species
GUGCUGACUUAAGCAGCACAUAUACUAAAAUUUGAACAAUAUAGAGAAGAUUAGCAUGGCCCCUGUGCAAGGACAAUGCAAAAUUCAUGAAGCAUUCCAUAUUUUG